UCGUGGGCUCGGAGAUGUGUAUAAGAGACAGGCCUACAAGCACCUAGAGCACGUCAAUGUGUGAUAGGGUACUUUUUGUAGAACGGUCCGGCGAGCGAUUGUAUGCAGCAAGGUUAAGGACUUAAGGUCUGGAGCCGAAGCGAAAGCGAGUUUGAAAAGGGCGUUAAGUUGCAUAUAAUGGGCCCGAAACCGGGUGACCUACCCAUGGUCAGGUUGAAGUGGAAGUAAAAUUCCAUGGAGGACCGAACCGACCUCCGUUGAAAAGGCGGCGGAUGAACUGUGGGUAGCGGAGAAAUUCCAAUCGAACCCGGAGAUAGCUGGUUCUCCCCGAAAUAGUUUUAGGACUAGCCUCAAGUUAGAUACCUGGAGGUAAAGCACUGAAUAGCCUAGCGGCCGAGAGGUUAGCGAAGCUUAUCAAACUCAGAAUGCCAGAGUAUUGAUGCUUGGGAGUCAGACAGUGUCAGAUAAAUGUCAUUGUCAAAAGGGAAACAGCCCAGAUCUACAGCUAAGGUCCCAAAGUCAGGUUAAGUGGAAAACGAUGUGAAGAUACGCAGACAACCAGGAUGUUGGCUCAGAAGCAGCCACUCAUUCAAAGAGUGCGUAAUAGCUCACUGGUCGAGCGUCUUUGCGCGGAGAAUUUAACGGGGCUAAACCUGACACCGAAGCUUAGGCAAUCCAGCAAUGGAUUGGGUAGGGGAGCGUUGUAUACGCGGUGAAACAGUAGCGCAAGCGGCUGUGGAGUGUAUAGAAGUGAGAAUGCCGGAAUGAGUAGCGCGAAUGCAGUGAGAAUCUGCAUGGCCGAAAGCCUCAGGUUUCUGGAGGAAGGUUCGUCCGCUCCAGGUUAGUCGGGAGCUAAGGUGAGGCCUAACGGCGUAGCCGAUGCACAGACGGUAGAGAUUCCGUCACCACCAAAAGAGUUAAGCACAGGGACACAUUUGAAGUCUCAGAGCCGGGUGUUGGUUCCGGUAGCGAUCGAGGGAAGUUAGUACCGAAGUCUGAGAUGGAAGAUGGCGAGAAAAGCUGUGUGUAUUUCUGCGGUGCCCGUACCGCAAACCGACACAGGUAGGUAGGAAGAAGAUUCUAAGGCCAACGGGAGAAGGGUUGUUAAGGAACUCGGCAAAUUGACCCCGUAACUUCGGGAGAAGGGGAGCCGGCCACGGCCGGCCGCAGUGAAUAGGCCCAAGCAACUGUUUACCAAAAACACAGGUCUCUGCUAAAUCGAAAGAUGACGUAUAGGGGCUGACGCCUGCCCGGUGCCGGAAGGUUAAGAGGAGAGCUUAGCGCAAGCGAAGGUUCGAAUUGAAGCCCCGGUAAACGGCGGCCGUAACUAUAACGGUCCUAAGGUAGCGAAAUUCCUUGUCAGGUAAGUUCUGACCCGCACGAAUGGCGUAAUGAUUUGGGCGCUGUCUCAACAGGGGACCCGGCGAAAUUGUAUUAUACGUGAAGAUGCGUAUUACCCGCGACUGGACGGAGAGACCCCGUAGAGCUUUACUGUAGCUUGGUAUUGAAGUUCGGUGAUUUAUGUACAGGAUAGGUGGGAGACUUGGAAACAGGGGCGUCAGCUUCUGCGGAGUCACCCUUGGGAUACCACCCUUGAAUCAUUGGACCUCUAACACUAGACCGUAAUCCGGCUGGUGGACAGUGCCAGGUGGGCAGUUUGACUGGGGCGGUCGCCUCCCAAAAUGUAACGGAGGCGUUCUAAGGUUCCCUCAGGAUGGUUGGAAAUCAUCCAAAGAGCGUAAAGGUAGAAGGGAGCUUAACUGCGAGACAGACAUGUCGAGCAGAUACGAAAGUAGGACUUAGUGACCCGGCGGUAGAGUAUGGAAUUGCCGUCGAUUAACGGAUAAAAGUUACCUCGGGGAUAACAGGCUGAUCUCCCCCAAGAGUUCAC
rnacentral:rRNA from 1 species